GUCUACAGCCAAACCACCCUGAAUGUGCCCAAUCUUGUCUGAUCUCGGAAGCUAAGCAGGGUCCAGUCUGGUUAAUACUUGGAUUGGAGAUGAAUUAAAUAUAAGCUUGGAACAGACU
rnacentral:rRNA from 1 species